AGAGCACAGGGUGAAUGCCUUGGCAUCAAGAACCGAAGAAGGACGUGUCAAGCUGCGAAAAGCUGCGGGGAGUUGCAAGCAAACAUUGAUCCGCAGAUAUCCGAAUGAGGGAACUCAGCACAUGUAAUAGUGUGUUACCAUAUACUGAAUCCAUAGGUAUAUGGGGGGAACCCGGUGAACUGAAACAUCUAAGUAGCCGGAGGAAAGGAAAACAACCGUGAUUCUCAAAGUAGCGGCGAGCGAAAUGGGAAGAGGCCAAACCGGAAGUCUUCGGACAUCCGGGGUUGCGGACCCAUAUAAUCGAUCUGACGAAUAUAGCUGAAUAGCAUUGGAAAGUGCAGCCAAAGAGGGUAAAAGCCCCGUAAGCGAAAUACGAGUUAGCGAGAUGGGCACCAGAGUACCACGGGGCACGUGAAACCCAGUGGGAAGCCGGGAGGACCACCUUCCAAGCCUAAAUAUUCCUUGAUGACCGAUAGAGAAAUAGUACCGUGAGGGAAAGGUGAAAAGCACCCCGGGAGGGGAGUGAAAGAGAACCUGAAACCUUGUGCUUACAAGCAGUGGGGGCACUAUUAGAAAGUGUGACCACGUACUUUUUGUAGAACGGGCCAGCGAGUUACGGUAUGUAGCGAGGUUAAGUGACUGGAGUCACGGAGCCGAAGGGAGACCGAGUCUGAAUAGGGCGUUAAGUUGCAUGCUGUAGACCCGAAACCGGGCGACCUACCCAUGAGCAGGUUGAAGCGGUGGUAAAACACCGUGGAGGACCGAACCACACGUAUGUUGAAAAAUGCGGGGAUGACUUGUGGGUAGCGGAGAAAUUCCAAUCGAGCUCGGAGAUAGCUGGUUCUCCUCGAAAUAGCUUUAGGGCUAGCCUCAAGUGAAGAUAUAUGGGGGUAGAGCACUGAAUGGACUAGGGGGCUUCACGGCUUACCGAAUCUUAUCAAACUCCGAAUACCAUAUAUUACCUGCUUGGGAGUCAGACAGUGUGAGAUAAGUUUCAUUGUCAAAAGGGAAAGAGCCCAGAUCAUCAACUAAGGUCCCAAAGUGUAAGUUAAGUGGAAAAGGAUGUGGAAUUGCAGAGACAACUAGGAUGUUGGCUCAGAAGCAGCCACUCAUUUAAAGAGUGCGUAACAGCUCACUAGUCGAGUGAUUGUGCGCCGAAAAUGUCCGGGGCUAAAACUUACCACCGAAGUUAUGGGUGCAGCGUUUUCAACAAUGCUGAAGAAGGUGUCGGGAAAAGGACACGUAGCAAACCGGGAAAAAGGAGGUUUGCGUCAAAUCCAACAGGAUAGAACCUGAAGAAUCAGGCGGUAUUGUUGAAAACGUUGCGCGGUAGAGGAGCAUCGUAUUUGGAUUGAAGCCAUACCGAGAGGAGUGGUGGACCGGAUACGAGAGAGAAUGCUGGCAUAAGUAGCGAGAGUGAGGUGAGAAUCCUCACCGUCGAAAGCCUAAGGUUUCCUGGGGAAGGCUCGUCCGCCCAGGGUAAGUCGGGACCUAAGCCGAGGACAGUAUAGUCGUAGGCGAUGGACAACAGGUUGAUAUUCCUGUACUACCGGUCAUUCGUUUGACUGAAGCAGUGACACAGGAGGAUAGCAGAAGCGCCUUGAUGGUAGAGGGCGUCUAAGCACUGAGGGUGGAAAUUAGUGAAGUACGGUUUCCAUAAAGCCUGAGGUGUGAUGGGGACAGAAAAUAAGUAUGGAAGUCUGUGAAUCCACACUGGCGAGAAAAGCUGCUAAGGAGAAUGACAGGUACCCGUACCGCAAACCGACACAGGUAGGCGAGGAGAGAAUCCUAAGACGAUCGGGAGAAGCAUUGUUAAGGAACUCGGCAAAAUGACUCCGUAACUUCGGGAUAAGGAGUGCCUAGCAAUAGGUCGCAGUGAAUAGGCCCAAGCGACUGUUUAGCAAAAACACAGGUCUGUGCGAAAUCGAGAGAUGAAGUAUACGGGCUGACGCCUGCCCAGUGCUGGAAGGUUAAGGGGAACUGUUAGCGCAAGCGAAGCAGGGAACUUAAGCCCCAGUGAACGGCGGCCGUAACUAUAACGGUCCUAAGGUAGCGAAAUUCCUUGUCGGGUAAGUUCCGACCCGCACGAAUGGCGUAACGACUUGGGCACUGUCUCAACAAUGUACCCGGCGAAAUUGUAGUAUGAGUGAAGAUGCUCAUUACCCGCGAUAGGACGGAAAGACCCCGUAGAGCUUUACUGCAACUUGGCAUUGGAUUUUGGUAUUGGAUGUACAGGAUAGGUGGGAGGCUGAGAAGCGUUGACGCCAGUUGACGCAGAGCCGCUGUUGGGAUACCACCCUUCUAAUACUAGGGUUCUAACAUGAGGCCGUGAUCCGGCUCAUGGACAGUACCAGGUGGGCAGUUUGACUGGGGCGGUCGCCUCCGAAAGAGUAACGGAGGCGCCCAAAGGUUUCCUCAGAAUGGUCGGAAAUCAUUCAUUAGAGUGCAAAUGCAUAAGGGAGCUUGACUGCGAGAGAGACAUCUCGAGCAGGGACGAAAGUCGGGAUUAGUGAUCCGGCGGUAUGAGAGUGGAAUUGCCGUCGCUCAACGGAUAAAAGCUACCUCGGGGAUAACAGGCUUAUCUCCCCCAAGAGUCCACAUCGACGGGGAGGUUUGGCACCUCGAUGUCGGCUCGUCGCAUCCUGGGGCUGAAGCAGGUCCCAAGGGUUUGGCUGUUCGCCAAUUAAAGCGGCACGCGAGCUGGGUUCAGAACGUCGUGAGACAGUUCGGUCCCUAUCCAUCGUGGGCGCAGGAAGUUUGAGUGGAGCUGUCCUUAGUACGAGAGGACCGGGAUGGACGUACCAAUGGUGCACCAGUUGUCGUGCCAACGGCAUGGCUGGGUAGCUACGUACGGACGGGAUAAACGCUGAAGGCAUCUAAGCGUGAAGCCCCCCACAAGAUAAGACUUCCCAUCCUUUAUGGAGUAAGACCCCUUGAAGACUACAAGGUUGAUAGGCUGGAGGUGUAAGUACAGCAAUGUAUUCAGCUGACCAGUACUAAUAGGUCGAGGGCUUGAUCA
rnacentral:rRNA from 1 species